rnacentral:rRNA from 1 species
GACGAACGCUGGCGGCGUGCCUAAUACAUGCAAGUCGAACGAAGCUGUUUUAACUGGUGCUUGCACCGACUUAAACAACUGAGUGGCGAACGGGUGAGUAACACGUGGGUAACCUGCCCCAAGGCGGGGGAUAACAUUUGGAAACAGAUGCUAAUACCGCAUAAUCACAGAAACCACAUGGUUUCUGUGUCAAAGAUGGUUUCGGCUAUCACUUUGGGAUGGACCCGCGGCGUAUUAGCUAGUUGGUAAGGUAAUGGCUUACCAAGGCAAUGAUACGUAGCCGAACUGAGAGGUUGAUCGGCCACAUUGGGACUGAGACACGGCCCAAACUCCCACGGGAGGCAGCAGUAGGGAAUCUUCCACAAUGGACGAAAGUCUGAUGGAGCAACGCCGCGUGAGUGAAGAAGGUUUUCGGAUCGUAAAACUCUGUUGUCAGAGAAGAACGUGUGCGAGAGUAACUGUUCGUGCAGUGACGGUAUCUGGCCAGAAAGCCACGGCUAACUACGUGCCAGCAGCCGCCGUAA